GAGUAGUUGUUCCUAAAAGCACACUGUAAUCUAUAGUACAAACAAAGUUCUGAAUGUUUCGUUAAGCUGUGGUAUGCCAGAUAUUUUUGAAAUGUGUGGGCCUUGUAAAUUUCAUUGUUAAGUGAAGGAUAAGUGUUUACUUAAUUUGUAUUGUUAUAAUAGCAGGUUACUUAUCUACUUUCUUUUCAUAUGAAAAUAAGUAUAUAAAAAACAGCGCAAGACUGGAGUGGUUCUUAGCUAAAAUCUGAGUAUUGAGAUCCUUAGCCAAGAUAAAAUUAUCACACACACACACACACACAUAAUAGCUGGUUACUUAUCUACCUUUCUUUUCAUAUGAAAAUAAGUUUAUAAAAAGCAGGGCAAGACCGGAGUGGUUCAUUGCUAAAAUCAUUCAUAGCUAAAAUCUGAGUAUUAAGAUACAUGGCCAAACUAAAAUUAUCGCGCG
rnacentral:lncRNA from 1 species